AUACAGAGGGUGCAAACGUUGUUCGGAAUUACUGGGCAUAAAGAGCACGUAGGCGGCCCGCUAAGUCAGAUGUGAAAGCCCCCGGCUCAACCGGGGAACUGCAUCUGAUACUGGCGGGCUCGAGGACGGUAGGGGUGAGUGGAACUCCAGGUGGAGCGGUGAAAUGCGUAGAUAUCUGGAGGAACACCGGUGGCGAAAGCGGCUCACUGGACCGUCUCUGACGCUCAGGUGCGAAAGCUAGGGUAGCGAACGGGAUUAGAAACCCCAGUAGUCC
rnacentral:rRNA from 1 species